AGAGUUUGAUCCUGGCUCAGGACGAACGCUGGCGGCACGCCUAACACAUGCAAGUCGAACGGAGUGAAGAUGCUCGCAUCUGAACUUAGUGGCGGACGGGUGAGUAACACGUGAGCAACCUGCCUUUCAGAGGGGGAUAACGUUUGGAAACGAACGCUAAUACCGCAUAAAAUAUCGGAGUCGCAUGGCACUGAUAUCAAAGGAGCAAUCCGCUGAAAGAUGGGCUCGCGUCCGAUUAGGCAGUUGGCGGGGUAACGGCCCACCAAACCGACAAUCGGUAGCCGGACUGAGAGGUUGGACGGCCACAUUGGGACUGAGACACGGCCCAGACUCCUACGGGAGGCAGCAGUGGGGGAUAUUGCACAAUGGGGGAAACCCUGAUGCAGCGAUGCCGCGUGAAUGAAGACGGCCUUCGGGUUGUAAAGUUCUGUCGCAGGGGACGAAAAUGACGGUACCCUGCAAGAAAGCUCCGGCUAACUACGUG
rnacentral:rRNA from 1 species